GAGUAAUCGGAUAAUCUUUAAAUCUGACAAAAAAAAAAAAUAAACCCUAGAACCAUGAGAUUGAGUGCGAACGGAUUGAAAUUCAAGAAAAUAGCCUGAAAUUUCAUCCCGUUCCAAUGAAAACGGCAUCUCUGUUAUGUUGAUGAGGAAUUACGAGUUACACGUAAAUGGCGAUGAAAUCUAGAGCGAUACGUGAAUGAUAUUCAAUUCCCGAUCAAAAGCAGGCUUCUUGACAUGUAUUCCCAACAAUAUAUGCAAUUGCAGAUCCUGAUCCAAGUAACGGAACUCACCCAACAAAAAUCCAUGAUUAUCAAUCAUCGCCGAGUUGGAAACAUUUGUUGCCCUAAUUUGUGACUCGAAUUCGCGCUUCUUGGAGAAAUAAGCACAGAGAGCAGCAUCAGAGGAAUGAAAUUUCCCUAAAUUGACACGCGAAUUGGUGAUAGGGUUUCGGAUCCGAGCUGUCCACCUGCCAUUCUUUCUCCAAACCCCUUUGUAGCGUUUCGUUGUGGAUUUUGAUUGAUUUGUUGAUAAAAUGGUUUCGGUUUCUUCUGGAUCAUUCGGGUUGUCAUUGUAUCCGAAUACGAUCGUUACCGAUGUCGUAGCUUGUUCCUUCUCAUUAUCAUCCUUCGAUUCCAUUAAAACAGUCAAAGAAACCAGCAAGAAAAAAUUUGACCGAAAGAACCGAUCUAAUGGAUAUUGAGAUAACUGAAUGUUUGAUUUACUAUUUGUGAUUAUGUAUCUAUGAAAUGAAUAAAUCUAAUUGGAUACUAUUGGAUCUU